rnacentral:rRNA from 1 species
UACAGAGGUCCCGAAGCGUUGUUCGGAUUCAUUGGGCGUAAGGGUGCGUAGGCGGCGCGGUAAGUCGGGUGUGAAAUCUCGGAGCUUAACUCCGAAACUGCAUUCGAUACUGCCGUGCUUGAGGACUGGAGAGGAGACUGGAAUUUACGGUGUAGCGGUGAAAUGCGUAGAUAUCGUAAGGAAGACCAGUGGCGAAGGCGGGUCUCUGGACAGUUCCUGACGCUGAGGCACGAAGGCCAGGGGAGCAAACGGG